AUGGCUUCGGUCAUGGCAAGGCAAACGACAUAUUGCAUAAGGGGAAGCUUGCGGGCAUCAUUCAUCUGUGAUGUAAACGAGAACAUGAGACAACCUGGAGGUGAUUCCCACACAUUCUUUGAUCUUCCUGCAAAGCACCAAUUGGCAUACAUAUUUGACGCACCUCUGCCUUUGAACUGCACGUCUGUGACGCACACGACGCCCACCGGAACGAGACUCAAAAGAACAAAAUCUUGCACUCACUGCGUCACGAGGUCGUGCGUGGAUGCCAUCCUCGGCGACCAGAGCAUCCACCUCCCGAAGCGCCGCGCCUGGAGCGCGCCCAUGUAG
rnacentral:rRNA from 1 species